UCACAAGUUUUGUAUACCGACAAUUUAAUAAUAUAGCCGUGAGACCGAGACUCCUACAGAAAGAAUCCAAAAAACGAGUGGAUGUGAAUUAGUCUUACCUCCAUUGAGCCAAAGAAGAAGAGGUUUUUUGUUUGGAUUAUGAGUGGCUUCAAAGAACCAAUAGAAUAAUGCUCGUCCAUGUGUCUCAUUCACCGUUACAUAACCGGCAUAUUGCCGGAAUUUCACCGGAGGCUGUCCCGGAAGCUCCUUCACUAGAUCAGCUCGUUGCGCUGCCAAAACCCUAGACCGGAAACAACCAUUGUCGCCGUCCUUGUCAUCGUCGCUACAGAGCUUUGCUGCUAAUGAUGAGCCAAGAAGACAGGACACAAGAAAUAGGACAAGAACAGAAUGCACAACGUGAUGAGAAAUUCUCAUUUUUUACUUUAUUAAUGUUUGUGCUCAGAUCAUAUAAAGUCGAAUAUAGUGUUUGUUGUGAAUUGUGAAGUGACUGCGCAAGCUUAUAUAAUGUGGUGAGAGUGAGAGAGAACGAGAAUGAUUUCAAAGACAGAUAAGAACACUCUGUAGACUCACUGGAUGGUAACCAUUUCCAUAAGAUAAGACAUAAGAAAAGAAAAAUCAAAAUCCCAAAAAGUAAGGAAAAUGAAAUUUUAUCUUUCCAUUUUAUAAUAAUACUAUAAAUAAUAAUAAUAUUAGCAUUUUCUAUAUAUAAAUAGAAAGGUUUGUUACAUUUUUUUUUUUUUGAUAAUAGGUUUGUUACAAAUUAAGUUUCCUUUUUUUAUAGGCGUUUCUCUUUUUGUUUACACUAGCUAGAGGUAAAAUAUAUGCACAUGCAACUUGUGCCUUCUAUUUUAUAACCGUUUUCACUUGAAAUUUUAUAAUUAUUCAUGCGUAUUAACACCAUUAUUAUAAGAUAAAGACAUGUUACCAAACAAAAGAACCAAAUGGGCAAUAAGGAAGAUAUGACAGUACAAUUAUAUCGUAUAAAUAGAAGUUUGUUAUAAGUCGUUUUUCCCUUUAUGGGCAAUUAAUAUAUUUUUUGUUUAUACUAUACAUUUAGAUGCAACUUGUGCAAUAUGUCUGCAAUUUAUGUAAGGAAAUUUCGUUGUGAAAUAGUUCUUGGUUUUUGUGAAAGAAUCGAUUAAAAAUAAGAGUUCCUGCGGUUAUCGUAACAUAAAAAAGUAAAGCGAGAUAAGCCAUAUAUACAAGUCUAAUGGCAUGUGUAUUUGAUUAAAUCUGUUUAUUAAUUUUUGUAACAAUUAUAUAGAAUUGAUCAAUAAUCUGGAGUAGUAGAGAAAUAAUCAAAAGGGAAACGUAGGAAGUUUCUUGUUAGCAAGAAAAUGGUGAACAAGCUGAAGAGCCUCUCUAGGUUUGAAAGUCGGAACUUGGUGUCCCGCUCCUCUCACCGUCACAAACAUUAGCCCAUCGUACUCCACCGUCCACCCGCCUACCUGUUGUUUGUUGGUGUACCAAGGUGUCCAGUCUUGGACUGUCUUAAGACCAAGCUUCUUUAAUGAGUAUCUGGUUGCGGUCACUGGGAUUCUUCCAUCUGUAUCCCCACUUUUUCACCAAAUAUUUAAAACUAGUUAUCGCCGAUUUUCCGUAAAUAUUCAUACAUAAAAAGACCACUAUCAAGGAGCAAGUGUUAUGUACCUGAAAACCCAUACUCGUAAUCCGGCUGAAACAAGUGUUCUCAAGGUAGGAAGCAUGGAAGCGGGAGCGUCAGCCCAAAACGAGAUAUGAUCGCUGCACAUAUAGUUAUAACCAUGCAUAUUGGUUUAUAAGAUCGAACAAUAAGUAUCAUAUAACUAGAACCAUAUACGGUAGAUUUCUAUAUUUCAUUAUAAGUAAAAUAUGAAAAAUAUGGAACUUAACCGGAAACAUGUUUGAACAUCAUGAUAAUACCUGCAAUGAGUCCAAGGGUAAGAGAGGUUGGUGACAUUAGCAUGAAGUGCCUCUUGAACAUCUCUCCUGUUCAUAUACUUUUCUGUAUAGUCUGAUGCACAUGGAUCGUACCCGGCAGCCAUCUUCCGCCAUCCCUCCUGUAUAUCAUUCAAUUGUAUGUACCACUUCAGUUAGGGACAAAUAUCCCACAUAGGAAAUUGGAAAUGAUAUUAACUAAUAUAUAAACGAGAUGAGUAAAUUCACUUAUAAUGGUUUUAGGUUAGAAAUUCAUCAAACUUAACAUGCAAUCUGCUUCAAAUUAUGAUUGAAAAUAAAAUAUAUACUUACAUUGUUGGAGACGAGACGGGGCCGAAAGAUGCCUCGAGCAGCAGGAAGGUGGCGGCUUCCGGCGAUAGAAUGUGAAACGGAGGAGUUCUCGGUGGUAGGAACACACCUCGGAGAAUAUAGACUGUACAUGUCAAGGAUCUUGUAUACAUCAAAAUACUCAUCUAAAGCUCCAUCACAUUCCUUGGACACAUGCGCUAGUCUGAAGUCGCAGUGUUCAUUCACUCUCUGGUACAAUCCAUCUGAUAUCACUGCGUGAUCGUACGCGUAAUCUAUCAUCCCCUUUUGAUCUGUUUCGUCGUCCAACAAUGCAUUUCCUAUCUGCACAUAUAUAAAAGUCAAUGUUAUCAUGACCUUAGUCAAAUACUAAACUGUAGGUAGUGAUUAAUGAUUGGUUAAAGAAAAUAUCUGACCAUUAGACCCUUGAGGUUAAUGAAAUCUUUCUUGGGUGCAAUCUUGUUUUGAUUGUAGAUGAGCUCCGAAAGUUGAGGAACGUAAUGGCCUAAUUAAUUCCAUGCAAAUAUACGUUACAAACAAAAAAUUAUAUGAACUUAUUUUUAUUUGUUUUAAUCACUUUAAUUAAUAUUUACCGGCGUAGCUUUCUCCGGCGAUGUAAAAGUCGCGAGACUUGUACUGAGGGAAUCUCUUGAACCAAUUGACGAGGAAGUUGUACGAGUCGCUAGCUGGUUAAAUUAUACAUAAUUUUAAUUUACUUACAAUUUUUUUUUUACAAUUUUUCAUUAGUAGAGUCAUGUUAUAUAUAAUAGAACCUGUGACGGUGUCGCCGAGUUGACUUAUAUCACGGCUUGUGUUAGAGUAGGAGAAUCCAACUCCCACCGGCGAUUCCAAGAAUAAUAAAUUCGCCGCUACAUAUUAUAUUUCAAAAGUAUUUAUUUUAAUUGCAAUGAUGAAAUAUAGAGUUGAAUAUAUAUUGAAAAAGUUAUAGACAUCUAUACCUUUGUUCCAGCUAUAUGGGUUUAGCCUGAGAUUAGGUUGAGUUGAGUUUUGAGGGAAGAAUGGUCCGAGUUCUUCUGAUGCUCCAAAUCCGACCGAUGAACAUCCCGGUCCUAUUUAAAUUUUUACCAUUGAAUCCAUCUCAAUAUAAUAUUAACUGAAAGCCAGUUACAAAAAAAUAUAUAUACUAUUAACUAUUUGAUUACUAUGGUCCAUGUACUAUUUUUGAUGUUUUGAACUUUCAAAACUUAAAGCUUUUUUUUUUUUUUUUUUGUAACUUAGGAGGAGGGCUUGCUGUUUGUGAUCCUGACUCGUUCUUGCUAACAUCAGGAAGAAGGAUUCCAUCCAUCAAAGAGCAGAAGUUUUCAACUAGGUGGUGAAUGUUCUCUUGAACUUGUCUCUGCUGCUCAGACAAGGAGGUCUUACCAGCCAUCUCAAUUAUCUCUUCUGCUCCGUCUCCAUAGCUUCGUUAAAGCUAAAAAUUAAAGUUGAACCAACACACCAAUACUCAUCAUGAUCGUCAUGAUAAUAAUUAACCACAUAUGUUUCAUUGAUUUUGAUAUCGUGAAUAAUAUUACUGUUAAGAAGCUUCACCUAAUAUUCCCUCUCAGUUACCUUUUGUCUCCAUGCAUACAAAUUUAAAGGACCACAGUGACAGUACAUACAAAUCUUAUUUAUUUAUUUACCAUCAUGUUUUAGUCCACAUUCAGUUUACCUAAGCCAUAUUAUUCUACAUACAAAUAAUACAACACACAUGUAUAUGUGCUCCCUUCAAACAAAACAAUGUGAUCAAGCUAAUAUUCCAAUAUAUAGUUUCCUUUCAAUUUCAAAAUAUGAUGAUCACUGUCAUGCAUAGAUUAACUUUCAAUUAAUGAAAUCACAAUGUAGUGAUGUUUAGAUGCGCCAGCAUGUUUACUUUUGUGGGUGGGGUUUUUGUCUGGUCCAGGAAACUCAUUACCGUGAAAAAAGGUCUGAAAUUGGCUAAAUUCAAAAUCAUAAUUCAAUUCUAAAGGGUGCAAGUAGAUGAAAUGCACAAGAAGCAUGAUACACAUAUAGUGAAUUUUUUUUUUUACCUUUUUGGGGUUUUAAUAAUAAAACUAUCCUUUCAUCACAAGUUUUUUACGCCGACAAUUUACUAAUACAGCCGUGAGACCGAGACUCCUACAGAAAGAAUCCCAAAAAACGAGUGGAUGUGAAUUAGUCUUACCUCCAUUGAGCCAAAGAAGAAGAGGUUUUUUGUUUGGAUUAUGAGUGGCUUCAAAGAACCAAUAGAAUAAUGCUCGUCCAUGUGUCUCAUUCACCGUUACAUAACCGGCAUAUUGCCGGAAUUUCACCGGAGGCUGUCCCGGAAG
rnacentral:lncRNA from 1 species